AACUAGCUGGAGAGAGUGAGGGGAGGCAACUCCAGGAAGGAAAGGAUUUCAUUGAAUCUUCAGCUGGAGUCAAUCUAGAUUCCACUGCCCAGGCUAACAGUGUGUGUCAGUGGGAGAACAUGAUGAGACUUCUCUGAAAUAGCAAGCACACAGAGAGAAGAUCUAACAAAACAGAGUAACAGAGGCCAAGGAAAACUGAAAUAGAGAAGAGAGGAUGUACAGGACCACACUCAAUGAGACCUCCCCACGCCCUUCCUGGGCAUGGUCAUGUAUCCCGUAGGAAUGAGAAUAGGGACAGUAUUCUGAGCAAAAGGCAAUCAUCUCAGAAGCUCAUUUCCUGCUGCUGUCACCCCAAAUCCGGUGGGCAGUAAUGACACGUCGAAGGCAGAAAAUGGGAUUAUGAUGAACAGAGUGAAUGCUCUUGAAAAAUGGGCAACAUUAAAGAUUUGCAGACACUUUCUCCUCUUCUCCCCUUGCAGGCUUCUAUAUAAAUGCAUUUCAUUCCCAUCACAUCCGAGUUACAGUUCUGCAGGCGCACAGAGAAGGAAUCUAAUUCAUAUAUAGCUCAAACAAGCAAAAAGGAGCCAAGGACAGGUGAUCUAUUCUGAAAGAAUAGAUAUGUGAUCUGAUAUAUCUUUCUCUCUGUCUCUCUCUCUGCAGGGCACUAUGCAAUUUAAAAGAAAAGUGAUUCCCCCCCCCACCCCGCCUUCAGGACUAAAAUAAAAAGAUCCAUGGCAUGCUUAUCCUUUCCCAAGCAGGAGAAAGUUCAGGCCCGCAUUUCGGGGAAAGAUGCCUUUGGAAUAAUAUGUUUGUUUACAAAUAUAUAGGUUGAGAAGGCACUUCAAUAGCACAUAAGCAAGUGUAUUAAAAGGCCAAGCUAGUCCCGUCUCCCAAGGGACUACCCCUGCACCUGGAAAUCUAAAAUUAUUUCUUCUGAAUCAAAUCUGUCCUGACUUGUAAACACUUUCCAGAAUCAGCCUGAGCAUGUUUGUCGGUGGCUGUGACUCAAAGGCACAUUCCUGAAUUACUUCAAACAAAGAGCAUCCAACUUGUCCAUUAGUGUCCCUUGUCCUCCAUCAACGGUUAGGCAACAUACCAAAGCUUAGAGGGAGACUUGGGACACAAUAGGACAAUAUGACAUAUCCCAUCUAUAGCACUGAGAUGACGUUAGUAAAGCAAUCUUAAUUCACAGCUGUAUCAAUACUUUUCUGUAACCACUACCAUACCGUGUGCACUCAGUGUGCAUUUUUCAAGCCCAGUAGGGUGUGUUGCACUCAAUAAUGGGAAUGUUCAGGUCUGCCAUCACAAUCCUAUGGAUUGGUUUAAUAAAGAUGCAUCUGCACAAGUUGUGACUUGUACUGCUAAGGCUCAUCCUCUGUGCCUGGGAAGGAUAGUAAAGUUGGAGAUGUGAUUGAGACAAAUAGGGCUGUUGCUGGACUAGAAGCACUUUGAUCCAUACAUAUGAUG